rnacentral:lncRNA from 1 species
UUUUUUUUUUUUUUUUUAAAUGUAGUUUACUUUACAUGGUUGUUAUAUAGAGAAAUUGUUAAAAAUGCCCCUUUUUCAAUACUCCUUUUCAAAAAUGCCCCUUUUGAGAGUCUAUUUUUAAGUUUGCCCUCUUUUAAUUUUUAAUGACCAUUUUACCCUUAUUUGAAACAAAAUUAGGUCCACAAAAUACAAAAUAUUUUUUGGCGGGAAAAGUGAUCCUGCAAUUCCCGCCAAAACACAUCUUAAAACGCUUGUAAAAUUUUCCCGUAAAAAUNNNNNNNNNNNNNNNNNNNNNNNNNNNNNNNNNNNNNNNNNNNNNNNNNNNNNNNNNNNNNNNNNNNNNNNNNNNNNNNNNNNNNNNNNNNNNNNNNNNNAAAUUUUUUUGGCGGGAAAAAUUUACAAGGUAUUUUAAAGGUUUUACGGAGUAUUUACAAGUGUUUUGUAAGGUUUUACAAUGUAUUUUAAAAGGUUUUACAAGGUACUUAUAAGGUUUUAUAAGGUAUUUAUAACUUGUAAAACCUUAUAAAAAACUUGUAAAACCUUAUAACUUGUAAAACCUUAUAACUUGUAAAACCUUAUAAAAUAGCUUGUAAAAUCUUAUAAUAUCUUAUAAAUACUUUAUAAAUACGUUGUAAAACCUUUGAAAAUGCAUUGUAAAACCUUAUAAAUACCUUGUAAAAGACCCUUUAAAAAACCUUGUAAAUUUUUCCCGCCAAAAAUUUAACGCCAAAAAAUUUGCGGAAUCACUUUUCCCGCAAAAAAAAUUUUUGGCGGGAAAAUUUUUUGGCGGGAAAAAAUUUUACGGGAAAAUUUUACAAGGUAUUUUAAAGGUUUUACAAAUUUUUACAAGUGUUUUGGCAGGAAAAAUUGGGGGAUCACUUUUCCCGCCAAAAAAUAUUUUGUAUUUUGUGGACCUAAUUUUGUUAUAUUUCAUUAUAUAUUUAUGAUAUCUUUUAUUAAAAGAAGGGUAAUUUAGUCAUUUUGUACAUAAAAGGGGUAUUUUUAAAAAUGGACAUCCAAAGAGGGCAUUUUUGAAAAGAGGUAUUGAAAAAGAGGCAUUUUUGUGAGUCUCCCUAUUUUUUAUUUAUUAUUAUUAUUAUUUUUUUUUGUCAAAGACAUGAUUGUUAUUUAACAUGGGAUAUUGUGUCCUUUUGUGUGGUGGAUUAUUCAAACCAACAUUAGCCUCCAUCAAACCAACCAUUCAGAGUUGUAUCAAAUUUGCUAUUGUUAAUUUGCUGCAUAUAUUUAUCUGAAAUUCUUCAGAAAAACACAUAAAUUACAAACUCAUGCGUGUGCUUCUCAUUUCUGAUUUGGUUUUAAGUUUAUAAACAAAUUCACCCUCAUUACCAAAAUUGUUUUGACUUUAGAAAAAUCAUUAAAAAAGACCAUCAUCCGUCAACGAUGAUUACUUAGACAUAUAGCCACGGAUUUUGAACUAUGGCCACUCAUUUUCUUCAUGGCUAAUUGGCUAUACAAAUUUCGUUUAAUAGCUGUUAUUACAAUUGUUUUUAAUUAAAACGAUGAUAAUUUUUAAAACUAUCUAAUCAGAAUCAGAUAGAUGAACGACUAGUACUAGUUGAGAAAUAUAUAAAAUAAUUAGUGUAAUUCGGUAAUGAAACAAAUAUUUUUGGGUUAAAUCCUAAUUCCAACCAUCUCCUUGUUGGGUUAAAAUAUAAAUUAAUAAGAAAUUUAGUGCAAUUCGUAAUAAAACAAUUUUUUAGUGGGUUAAAUCCAAAUAAAAACGAGUGGUUGGAAAGUAAACGCAAAUAUUUUCUUAUUUUUUCUUCUUCUCCAAUCUGGCAAACAAAUCUCACUCUCAAUCAAAACACACAUCAAAAUCAAAACCUUCUCUUCUUCUUCUUGCGAGUUGCACCGAAACACUCAACAAAACCAAACCAUCCAAAUUUGGUAAAAUAAAAGAAACCCAAAAGAAGAAGAAGAAGAAGAUCGAAUUCAAGAAGAGAGAUGGAGAAUGGAGCAACGACGAGUACAAUUACCAUCAAAGGGAUUCUGAGUUUGCUUAUGGAAAGUAUCUCAGAAGAUGAAGAAGGGAAGCGAGUAGUAUCUCUGGGAAUGGGAGACCCAACACUAUACUCUUGUUUUCGUACAACACAAGUCUCUCUUCAAGCUGUCUCUGAUUCUCUUCUCUCCAACAAGUUCCAUGGUUAUUCUCCUACCGUCGGUCUUCCCCAAGCUCGAAGGUCAGUUUCGUCUUUUCCCUUAUCUCUCUCUCAGUUAGGGAUGCCAAAUUCGGUUCGUUUAACUCAACCGAUUGGAUGAUUAAACCGAAUUUUAAUUAGGAUGAUUUGAUAAUUAGGUUUGUUUUGAACCUUCUGAUUGAAACGGAAUGUUUCAUUUUCAAUAUAUAUUUGUGAGAGUAUAAAAAGACUUAACUUGCAAAUCAAGUCUCACACUUUUGUGUAAGAAUGAAACAGGGCAAUUGCAGAGUAUCUAUCGCGUGAUCUUCCAUACAAAUUGUCACUGGAUGAUGUGUUUAUCACAUCAGGUUGUACGCAAGCAAUCGAUGUAGCAUUGUCAAUGUUGGCUCGUCCUAGGGCCAAUAUUCUGCUUCCAAGGCCUGGUUUCCCAAUCUAUGAACUCUGUGCUAAGUUUAGACACCUUGAGGUUCGUUACGUUGAUCUUCUUCCAGAAAACGGAUGGGAGAUCGAUCUUGAUGCUGUCGAGUCUCUUGCAGACGAAAAUACGGUUGCUUUGGUUGUUAUAAACCCCGGUAAUCCUUGUGGGAAUGUCUAUAGUUAUCAGCAUUUGAUGAAGGUUAGCUUUAAACUUUGACAUGAGGAAACAGAACCAAUGUUGUUGUUUGGAAGUUGAUGUAUACAAAUUUGUGUUUUUAGAUUGCGGAAACGGCGAAAAAAUUAGGGUUUCUUGUGAUUGCUGAUGAAGUUUAUGGUCAUCUCGCUUUCGGGAGCAAACCGUUUGUGCCAAUGGGUGUGUUUGGAUCUAUUGUUCCUGUGCUUACUCUUGGCUCUUUAUCAAAGAGAUGGAUAGUUCCUGGUUGGCGGCUCGGGUGGUUUGUGACCACUGAUCCUUCUGGUUCGUUUAAGGACCCUAAGGUUAGUAAUAGCUUCGAUCUUUUUAAAAAAAAUUGAUGAUGCAAGAGCGCAAAUAAACCGUAUACUUACUGAAAUCUUGUUUUGUUCAUUUGGAUCAGAUCAUCGAGCGGUUUAAGAAAUACUUUGAUAUUCUUGGUGGACCAGCUACAUUUAUUCAGGUAUAUAUAUGUCACUUAUAUUCAAAUUCAACUUCUAUUGUUUAUGAUUAUCUUAAGACAUUAAUUUUGUUCUUGAUUGUGUUGCAUUAGGCUGCAGUACCCACGAUUUUGGAACAGACGGAUGAGUCUUUCUUCAAGAAAACCUUGAACUCGUUGAAAAACUCUUCGGAUAUUUGUUGUGACUGGAUCAAGGAGAUUCCUUGCAUUGAUUCCACGCAUCGACCAGAAGGAUCCAUGGCAAUGAUGGUGAGCAUCUAUAUAUAUAUAUAUAUAUAUAUAUAUAUAUAUAUUGUGAAAAAUGUUCACAAAUUGUUACACAUCUAUUGUCUUAGAUAUUUGAUUUCUGUAAUUUCGUUCAGGUGAAGCUGAAUCUCUCAAUACUCGAAGAUGUAAGCGACGAUAUCGACUUCUGUUUCAAGUUAGCUAGAGAAGAAUCAGUCAUCCUUCUUCCCGGUAAGGAUAUUAUUUCAACCUCUUAAGAUGAAUUAUACAUUAAUCAAUAGUAAUAUUGUUUUGAUACAUUCCUUGUGUGUGGAUGGAUGCGGCUGAACAGGGACCGCGGUGGGGCUGAAGAACUGGCUGAGGAUAACGUUUGCGGCAGAUGCACCUUCGAUCGAAGAAGCUUUUAAAAGGAUCAAAUGUUUCUAUCUUAGACAUGCCAAGACUCAAUAUCCAACCUUAUAGUUGAUUUCUGAUUUUGGUAUGGUCAUAAAUUAUAUGCUCAAAAACACAGAUACAGUAUACUAGUAUAGUGUUUUUUUUUCUCCGUAUAUGUGUUGAUAUAAUAUAUCUUCAUUGUAAUAACUAAUAAGAUUAACUCUUAAUUAAAAACAUCAACUAAGGAGCCGAAUGGGACCUAACCGAAUAAACAGAAAAAUGUCAACUUGAAAUGAAAUAUGUGGUUCUUAAAAGAGAUUUAAAACUUUAUGUAACUUGAGUUUUGAUCUUGAAACUUCGUGUAGCACUAGUCUAAGAUCAUAGUCUUCAUAGUGGUACCCUGAGUCCCUGAUGAUAGGCAAGUAUGAGCCCAAUCUUUUGGACACAGCAGAAUUAGUCUAGGCCCAAUAUAUUUGGUCGUAAUUGGUAAAAGAUUGUUUGUCUACAAAACAACAGAGCGUAUCUAAAAUGGGAUAUAAAGUGCUUAAAGAUUCUGAUAUGCAAAUUCCAAAUUUGAAAAUGAAAGAACUCGUAAAUCAAGAUGCAUUGUCCCAAAGAGAACAAAAAAGAGUUCAUACUUUAUUUAAUUUUUUUUGCUUAAAUGAUAAUGCUAUUAAAUUUAAGUAGGUACGAUACGACCAACCCACGUGAAGACAUGCAUGUAUUUGAGAAAAAUACUUGUUAAUCAACUACUUAUUUUAAUUAAUUAAUCAGAAUAAUUUAUUUUCUCUUAGUCCCAAUUCAUUCUUUUGAAUAGUACAGUGGGUCCAUAAAGAACAGUUAAGUGGGCUUUUUGGCCCCAUAGCUUUGAUUCCCAAAUGACCCCUUCUAAAUAAACCGACUCUUGUGUUAUUCUCUCUAUCCAUAUUGACAAAAUAUUUCUUACUAGAGUUGAAUAAGAUUAUAUGUAUAGGCAUAUAGGGAAUCAGAAUGAAUUUGAUUGUUCUAAGGUAAGUUUAGAGAUUUUAGAACUAUCACUACUUGGUGAAUUACAUUUUGUUUUGAAAGUAAUACAUGAUUUGUAUGUUUUAAUAGUUUUAGUGUCAGAUAAACACUACAGUUUUCAGAGAAAACUUAAAAUCCACUUCGUUAUACAUGCAUCGAAAGUCUUUAAAUUUACAUAAAGUUUUUGCUCUGAAAUUCAAAUGUGGUUUCUCGUUUUACUAUGAAUAUCUGUUCUAUCAAUGUAUUAGUAACUUUGACAAUAUGAGUUAUGUUUUUGUAUAGAGUAUUUUUACCUAGAUGACAUGAUAUUUAAUGUCUUUGUAUAUAUGUUCUAUAUUAUAUGUUAAACUUAUAACCCAAAAAACUAAUCUUAGUAAUGUUGUUAUGAAUACAAAGUUUGAGUUAAUUUGUUUGCUUAUCUUUUACAUAGAACAUCACCAGUGUUUAAGUAUGAGUGCGUGUGUGUAUAUAAAUACAUCCUUAGCCACAACGUUGUACAUAACACAACAAAGAAAAAGAAAGUGAAGAGAAAAAUGGAGAAUUCUCAGAGUCAGAGUAAAAACAAGAAGAAGAGGCUAACACAAGAGCAAGUAAGACAACUGGAGAAGUGCUUCACUGUUAACAAGAAGCUUGAGCCAGAUCUGAAGCUUCAACUGUCGAACCAGCUUGGUCUACCUCAGAGACAAGUUGCAGUCUGGUUCCAAAACAAGCGAGCCAGGUCCAAGACUCAGUCUCUCGAGGUCCAACACUGCACUCUUCAGUCCAAGCUCGAAGCAGCUCUCUCCGACAAAGCAAAGUUAGAGCAUCAAGUGCAGUUUCUUCAAGAUGAGGUGAAGAGAACGAGGAAUCAGCUUGCUCUGUUCACAAAUCAAGAUUCUCCUGUAAAUAACUCUAAUCUUGGUUCUUGUGAUGAAGGUCAUGAUGAUCAAGUGGUGGUAUUCGACGAGCUUUACGCUUGUUUUGUUAGCAAUGGACAUGGAUCUUCAUCAACCUCAUGGGUCUGAUUCUGUUUCUACAUAGACAAGAUUCCAAUAUUUAAUCUUCUCUCUGUUUUGUUUCGUUUGAUUGGUUUCUCUUUGUCUGGAUAGAUUUACAAUCUGUAAUUAAAGUCAUUCAGACAUUCCACUAAUACAAAGAGAGGAAUUUUCUUCAUUUCUUGUUAUGGUUAUAAGAAUAUAAGAGAAUUGGAAUCAGGAUUUGCAAUGUUGUAACAACACAAGCUAAGAAACCAACAACUACUUCAUGGUCUAGUUUCAUCUUACCUUGUUGAUCACACCAAGUAUUUUCAUUCAAUAUUUAGUAUCAUGUACUAGAUUCUGCAAUGAUUCAUUAAUCUAGUGUUAAAAGAACUUGAUCAUCCAAAUAUAAGCAAGACUAUUUGACAAUCACUUGCCAGAGAAUUAUGAAUCCGCAAUGAUUCACAAAGCAGCCUAUUGCUGGAUGAGCAAAUAUCAAUGGUUCACAAAGCAUCCGCCCUACUGAUGGAUAAGCCAAUAUCAGCCUUUGCUGCAUCUAUCCUCUGCCCUACAACAAACGUUUAACAUGUAAGCUGAACGUUUAACAUGUAAGCUUCAUUCCUAAACAGAGUUCUUGAAGUUGAUCCUUCUUGUAUGUGAUGUGGAUUCAUUGUGAACAAUAUUAUAUAUCAAUGACUCCGGUUCAAAUUGAGCCGGCCAUGGGGCCAAGCAGGCCAAGCAUGCACUUGCGUCCUUCGCAAAAUUAUGGGCCAUUAAUGUAGUGUGUUACAAAAAAUAGAAAGGACUUGUUUAAUAGUGCUGGGAUUCGGCCCCAGACCCCAUCUAAUCUCCCCCUCUACAAAUAACCAUUACACUAAAGUGACUUUUUGGUAGUUUUACGUUUUUGUGAAGUUUAUAGAGAUCACAACUUUUUUUUUUUGGUUCCAAGAUUUACAAGAGCAUUAGGGAUUCUAGAAAACCUUUCUUUGGCAUUAUUAACACCAACAUAUCUUGGUCAAUCCCACGUCUUUAUUUAUGAAAGAAAAGUCGCAUUCUUGCUUUGUUCAUUUGGACCGGAAAAUAUCUCGAAAAUAUCAAGAAAAGUCGCAUUCUUGCUUUCAUUCUUGCUUUAUGAAAGAAAAGUUAACGAGUUGAUGAAUUUAUCAUAGAAAAGUAAAACAUCGAACAAAGACAAAUCUUAUUACAACUUCGAGGUAAAGACAAAACACUAAUAACUACUUCAUGGUCUAGUAGUUUCUUAUUUCGUUAUCUUAUGACAGCUGCUACGUACUUUCUUUAUAAUGAAAUUGUUUCAUUCAAGAUUUGUAUCGUUGACUAGAUCCUGCAAAGUUUCAACAAAUUUAUCGGUGUAAUCGGUUAAUAAUCCAUGACUAACCAAAACCUCCUUCAAUUUAGCGUGGUUCGUCCUCACCAGAUUCCCUAACUCACUAUCUUUGUCCAUUACCAAGGUGAUCGCAACACAUAAGCUCUCUUUCGAGAACCAUCCUGUUUCUUCUCUUUUCACUUCCACAGAAACCUCAAGUUCCUCACUCAUCAAUCUAGUGUUGAGAACUUGAUCACACAAAUAUGGAAGCAAGACUAUUUGGCAAUCACUCACUAGAGACUCCCACAUUGAUCCAAACCCACAAUGAUUCACAAAGCAUCCUACUGAUGGAUGAGCCAAUAUCAAUGGUUGCUGCACCCAUUCUCCCCAAACCACUCCAUGAUUCUUCACCCUCUCCGCAAACCCUUCUGGCAACGCUUCUUGGAUCGUCUUUGCGCCUUUUGGUGGCUUUACCGCUACAAGAAACGGUAAACCAGUGAGCUCCAUUCCUAAACAGAGUUCUUGGAAUUGAUCCUUCUCUAAAGUGAUUUGACUUCCCAAUGCACAAUAUAUUACCGAACCGGGUUCGAAAUGAUUUAGCCAAUGAUCCCAUCGAUCUUCAAGUGGUCUACUGUUGUCUGGCUCUGGAAGCAUUGGACCUGUCAAAAGAACCUUCCUCUGGUAUUGCUUCUCGAUAUAGUCGCAGAAUUUACCUUCAACUUCUUUACAAGUCCUAAUUGAGAUAAAAUCACAAUUCUUUAGACCUGUUGUUAUCCGGUAAUGAAGCCUCUCGUAGAAGAUGGCAAAAGUCAACAAAGCGUGAGCAUCGUGUCCACGGUACAACACUUUUGUCGAAGGAUAACCAGGUGGAGGAACUCCUAGUUCACCACCUGGGACAAGUUCAUGAGCUAUGGAGUUAGCCGAUACCACAAAGUAGAGCACACUCUUGACGUUAUGUUCUCUCGCCAUUUCCGGAACCCAAUAAGCAAAAUCAAAAAAUAUCAGGUCUGGUUUUAAAGCACGAACCGCGGCUUCGACCUGAUCGCGUGUGAGAUCCAUGGCUGCGGUCAGAAACUUCCCCAACGAGAUGGGGAUAUCCGAGGCGGUCUCGGCGCCAUCAGGGAGACCAUCAACAUGAGGAAUAGUAAGAGGAUAAAAGACGAUGCUGUCUGGAAACAGAUUGUGAUGUUCCAACUGUUUUUGAGCUUUCUUAGGCAGCAAGAAAGUAACCCUAUGACCUUUCUCAGCUAGCUUGUUGGCUAGAUGCAAGUACGGAGUCAUAUGACCAUAAGCGAACCAUGGGAACAUAAAAGCGUGAAACUUUUGGCCCAUUUUUCUUUCCUAAAUUGUCGAAACAAGGUGUCAAAGAUAGCCAAAAGAUGAAAAUUUUGCUGUGUUUCAAAUCAUAAGCAUCUUUGUUUUUCUUGCUUCAAAAUUUCUGCAAUUGAGAUAGCCAUUGACUUGGAGGAAUAUGCUUGUUAAAGUCUUUGAAGGGUGUUUUAGGUUUAUUUAUUAGUGAGGGUUGGUGGUUUAGUUGGUGAAGUAGUGGAUUGCAUGUGUCUAAAUGUCAUUUGUUUUUAUUAGAAAAUUUGGCUAAUCUAAACAUUAUUUGUAAUGUCAUGCCUCGAGAAAAUACAAUGCUACGUGUCAAAAAGUCAAAACUCAAAAGUAAUCGAUCUUAUGAAUAUGACAUACCAGGUUUGACGACGAGUGUCAAUCUGAACCAGAUGCAUAUGGCCCUUAUUUCAUUCAUUCGAAUCCGUAAAAGCCCAAAUGUCCUUACAAAAGUAAAACAUGAGAUGAAAAAAAAACAAACACUCAAGGCAGGUUGUUCUUUAACCUUUAAUCUAUCUUUCUUGAUUCUCUUAGGAUCUGACUUCUUGUUAGGAGAGUACUAUCUUAUUCACUAGUAGAUCAACAACUUUAGAAACAAGAUCUAUCAACAAUUUAAACAGACCCAAAUUAUCAAGUUAGAAGCUCUUCAGGCUUAAUAUGUUUUAGCUAGGAAGAUGAACCUCAUAUACCCUCAUGAAGUCAUGGUAUUAUUACAACACAAACACACAUGCAAUCUCACGUUCCAACAAAGAAAGCAAAACAGUCUUCUUUUCAAAGAUCAAGUAACUAAAGAAACAGAUACAUUUUUUAAAACCAGGAGGAGAGUGGAUGUUUUUUCAUUCAGAGAAAUGCAGCUUCGAUCGGUCUUCGACCUUGUUGAUAGUAAUUGAAGAAGUUCUUCUCAGACUUCUUAACUGCUUUGUACAAUCUUGGUCUAGCCUCAGACACAAGCUCAGUUACAGGUUGAAUCUCUUUGUCUUCAUCAGCAUCACAAAACGUUACCACAGAUAUCCUUGCCUUUUCGUUGUUAAGCACCACUCUAUGAACCGGGCUCUUGUAUAUUCCAUUGCUCAUUACCUAAACAUGCAUGAGAGAUUCUGUCAAAUCUACACCAAUCAAUUCAAAUAUCAUAGAUGCAUUUUAUUCACUAUCAUAUACACAUGAAUCAUGAUUGUUACCUCCAUAGUAUCUCCUACAUUGAUCAGAAUUGUAUGAGGGAGGAUUGAAGCUUUAUACCACUUCCCAUCUUUGAGGAACUGAAGUCCAUCCACAUUUUUUCAGGUAGGAUCAUUGUAAAGGCCGAGCCAUCAGAAUGCGGUUUAAUUUAAGCCCAAGAACCUUGUCCGGCCUCGGACAUGGAGGAUACAUGUUGAAUCUUGUCUCCAACGUAGCAUUUUCACCAUGCAUCUCUAGAAAGCAAUUAUCUUCCAACCCCAACGAUCUAGCUAAUGCCUUGAAGAAUUUCUCAACCACUAGCUGUUGCUUCAUAGUGUAUUCAAGUAAAGUUUCCCUAAAGAAACGAUUUUAAGAAUCACAAUCUAAAAGCAGCCCGUCUCUACCCUUAGGCUAGGCAAAUGCCAAGGGUCCAAAAUUAGUUUCAAAAAUUUUCUUAAAUAAAAAGGCCCAAAAUGUUUUUGAAAAAAAAAUUACUAAGAAGUUUUAAUUUUUUUUUGGUUUUGCCAUAUGUCUCAUUAUAGAUUAAGACGGUAGAAACUGAAAUUUUCAUGGUCCUAAGGAUUUUACCUGAAUCCGCUUGGGAUUUUAGGCCAGAACUUAAGCUGUCGUUGAUCUUCAGGAUAAGUAAUGAGGUACAAGCGGUCGACCCAGUCAAGAACUUGAUCAUCAGACAGAAUCAUGUCGUUUCCAAAUCCUUGAAAACUACUAAUCUCUCUUGCGUACUUAUGUUUCUCUUCGGUCGGAAGCACAAAGAACUGCCUCGUUAGCUCGAGAAUCUUGUCGAGAAAGGCUUCUGAAAUUCCAUGAUUCAUCACCUGCUUCAACGAGUUAUCAAGUUUCUACGAUGAAUUUUUGAGACUGUGAUCAUUAAUAAGAGAGUCAAAAACUCAAACCUGAACAACGCCCCAUGUAGAGAUCGCUGAGUGAAGUUUACUCAACUCUUCUCGACCGUCAUCAGAAGAAGAGAGGAGAAGACUAAGAUCGAUGACCAUAAUUUCCAUUUCCGGCAUCGAAACGUUGAAAGGUUGAUCACCUUCUCCGUCGCCUGUUGGGGUGCAGAGGUAUCUUUCCGGUAGUUUUUCUCCGGCUGCAAGCAGCUCUUGGACAGUCUUGAACUUUGGCUUUUCCAUUGUUUCAAAGGAUUUGUUUGAUGAUCUUUUUGGACUAAUUAAAAGAAACUUCGUAAUAAACGUAGAUGUUCUUGAAUUUCUGGCCUGUUUGGUAUUUCCAAACCCAAAGACAACACUAUAUUAAUACGUAACAGGACAAAAAUUGCCGUUUCGUUUACCAAUCUGAAGAGACAAUUUUCAAAACUAAACAAUACUCCUUUAUUUUUUAUUUUUUUUCUUUGUAUAUAUCGAUUGUGGCCAAAUUUAAAGGGACACUUAACAAAAUACUACUAAAAUAUAUUUUUGAAAUUAAGAAAUUACACAAUGUAAAAUUUAGUUUUGAAAGUUUAUAAUUUAUUUAUGAUUUAUGAUUUAGGGUUAGGGUUUUGAUGCCAUCAAAACUAAUUUGAGUAGGUCUCGGCUAUGAGAAAAUCCUGCCGGUGCCAGCUUAGGUCUCGGUUAGGGUUUUGAUGCCAGAAAUGCAGGCGGCCUGACUACUCCCUGAUACUUAGUCGGAAGGCAUUCCAAACUCGGGAUAGGUAGAGUGGUAGCAUGUAAGGGCCUAACCGUUAACACGGUGAACCAGUCCACUAUGUAGCACCUCGAUGCGUUCCUACCAGGGCCGACUAGAUAGCCGAUAGGAUUUAUCAAAAAAUAAAAUAAAUAAAUACUGGCUUUCAAUCCUGCCGGUGCCAGCAGGGAGGAAAUUACUCCGACAGUUUCGUUUUUUUUUUUUUUUAGUUCGACGGUGCGUUGUGUCUUUUUCAAUUUAUGAAGUCGAUGGUCCCUGGUCUUCGGCAAAAAAAAUGCAUAUUUCUAUGAAUUGUUACUAAUUGUGUACUAAUUGUGGCCUCAAUAGAAGCAAUAUAAAAACAAGUAUUUAAGCACCUUUUCUUUUUUUUUUUCGUCUCUGGCUUUGAUUGUUCCGCACUGAAAUACCCUUAUAUGAGCUUGGAGAAUGGUAAGGUGAGUUGGGAGAAUAAUCAGUGGAAUAGGUGAAUCAAUCAAAUUUUUUUUUUCAUCCGAAAUUAAUUAGAACUCAGAAAAGCUAAAUUUGUAAAUGAUUAAAUGAUGAUGUCCUCUUAAGUAGAGUCACAUUCUUUUGUUUUGUUCUGCUUUUUCUUUUUAAGGUGUUUUUGAGUAUUAAUCUUUUUGUGUGUGGGCCAAUUAAGUUAAGAGAUCCAUCCAAUCCGCCGAACCUUAUACCAUAGAAACUGAAAUUUGAGAGAGUAGAGCUUAAAGUAUUUUAUUCAUGUGCUUUCUCUUCUAGACUAGUUUCUGUAAUUCUUCUAUAAACUUAUUGACAUAACCAUUCAUUAGUCCAGUACUAACUAGAGACUCUUUCCAUUUAGCGUGGUUUCUCCUCACUAGGUUCCCUAGCUCGCUAUCUUUGUCCAUCACAGACCUAACCGCGCCGCUCAAGCUCUCCUUUGAAAACCAUCCAGCUUUCUCUCUUUUCACCUCUACCGAGACCUCGAGUUCCUCGCUCAUCAGUCUGGUGUUUAAUAUUUGCUCACCCAAAUGUGGAAUAAACACUAUUUGGCAGUCAUUCACUAUAGCCUCCCACAUUGACCCGAAACCGCAAUGGCUCACAAAGCAGCCUAUUGAUGGAUGAGCCAAUAUCAAUGGUUGCUUCACCCAUCCUCCCCAAACCACUCCACGCCCCUUAACCCGCUCUUCGAACCCUUUCGGUAAGGCUUCUUGGAUCGUCUUUGCGCCUUUUGGUGGUUUUACCGCUACGAGAAAUGGUAAACCAGUGAGCUCCAUUCCUAAACAGAGUUCUUGGAAUUGAUCCUUUUCCAGAAUGAUUUGGCUUCCCAAUGCACAAUAUAUUACUGAUUCUGGUUCGAACUGGCUCAGCCAGAGACGCCAUUGAUCUUCUAGCGGUUUACUGUCUGGAUCAGGAAGCAUUGGACCCGUCAAAAGAACUUCUCUUUGAAAUUGUCUUUCGAUGAAAUCGCAGAAUUUUCCUUCUAUUUCUUGGCAUGUCCUUAUCGAAAUGACAUCACAGUUUUUAAGUCCUAUCAUGAUCCGUUCGUAAAACGUAGUUCCAUCUCCAAACGGAUAGGAGAGGAACGACAAACUGUUGGUUUCUUGUCCACGAAGCAACACCUUCGACGAAGGAUAUCCCGGUGGAGGAAUACCCAAGUCAUCUUGACUACAACCAGGGACGAAUGAGAUAGCUACACAUGCUGCAGAAAUCGUUAUGAAAUUCACACUCUUGGCUCCAUACUCUCUAGCUAUUUCCGGAAUCCAGUGAGCAAAAUCAAAGAAAAUCAUAUCCGGUUGACGUAUUGAAACCGCUUCUUCGACUUGAUUUCGUGUCCGAUCCAUAGCCGAGGCGAGAAAACUCCCUAAGGAGAUCGGGAUAUCCGAGGUUGUCUCCGCGCCAGCAGGGAGGCCAUCGACAGAAGGGAUGGUAAGAGUGUGAAAGACGAUGCAGUGUGGGAAGAGAUUGAGAGGUUCAAGUUGCUUCAAUGCUUUCUUGGGGAGCAAGAAAGUUAUUUUGUGACCUUUCUCAGCUAGUUUGUUAGCCAGAUGCAAAAAUGCAGUCAUGUGACCAAAACCGAACCAUGGAAACAUAAAAGCAUGAAACUUUGACCCCAUUUCUGUUCUUAUGUUCCUCUGUUUUUUUCUUCUUCUAAUCUUGUUCUUAAGGUUCUUUUGUUUCUGUUUAUGAGAAUUCAGUUUCAGAUGCCUAAAGUUUAGGAGAGUACUGGUAUGAAUUGAAUGAUUCGAGUCUGUUACGAAUCCCCCAAAGUUUUAGUUUUGAUAAGUAAUUUUUUUCUAUCUAUUUAAGUUGUUAUAGAAUCUGUCGUUUCCUUUUGUUUUUAAAUUUCCGUAAAUUACUCCCUAAUCUAUGGUGUAAUAAUACAAAAUUAACAGCAAUAAUUGAAUAUACUAUGUAAUUUAGCUUCCGGAAGCUGUAUUCCUCAACUUAUGGAAAUUGCAAAGAUCAUGACAUUCAAGGUUGUUUCUAAUAGUAAUAUGCCAAGUAAAUUGCAAAUGAUUAAUGAAGUUAUGUACUUUCCCUUUUCUUUUCUUAAUAUAAUAUAUCACUAGAUCAUGACACGUACUAUAGUACGGGUUGAAUUUUAUUUACUACAAAAUUUUAUAUAUUAUAUAUUUUAAAAUAAAAUUUUGAUAUAUUAUAAUAGUAACUGAAUUAUUAUUUUUGUAAGUACAUAUAUAUAAUAUUAGAAUGAAUAUAUUUUUGUUUUAUAUAAUACUUAAUUAUGGAUAGUAUUUUCUUAAGAUAUGAAAACAUUAAGUAAUAUUAAUUUUAAAAAAUUAAUAUUUUUUGAACUAUGAGUUAAUUUAUUUUAACAACCACAAAAUGAGAUUGCAUAUAAUUCAAUUAGAUAAAAAAUUAGAAUAAAAAUCAAAAUAUCAUAAAUGAGUUGGAUCUAAAACGUAGAUUAUUUUGAUUUAAUUAAGGAAGUUAGCAAUUAUUUUGAUUUAAUUUAGGAAGUUCUUUUUUCAAUUUGUAAUUGUUUGGUUGUUGAAAUAGAGAUUUUUUGAGCUAAAUACAGAAUUUAGCAAGUAUUCGUAUAAUCAAAUAUGUUAUAAACAUAUUAUGGUAUAUAAUAAUACCAAAUAUAAUCCGUGCGUGGAGUCUGUAUUUUUAUUUUAUAAUCCCAAUGAAAAAAUUACGUGCACAAUCCAUCAUGGCAUCAUUCGUUAUUUUCAAAAUUACUUGCAGAAUUAAAUUUUCAAAUAUUUAGACGUGUCAGACCUUAUUUAACACAUCUCAUCAUAUAAUCUUAGCAUGCUUUCAGUUAUAAGGAUCAUUUCUUAUCAUCAUAUAAUACAUUAUAUUUAAUUUGGUGUCUGCUAUACAUAUUUUAAAUAUAUCUAUUUUAUAAAAUCAAAUUAGUGUAUUUAUUAAAAAAUUUCUUUUUGAUUUAUUAAAUAUUAUGAUAUUCUUUACACUAUUAAAUUAAACUAUUUUUAAAUGUUCCAAAUUAAAAUAUUUUAAAAUUUUUUAUUGUAGGAUAUAAAAUUAUGGAUUUCAAAAAAGAAUUGUAUGAAAUGAAAUAAAAUAUUCAAAUAGUUAUAAUGAUCAUACCAUCAUAUAAUACAAUAUAUUUAACCCGUCGCCUAUUGUAAAUAUUUUAAAAUAUAUUCUUGAUCUAUUAAGUAUUGAUGAUAUUUUUUAAAAAUAUCAAGUAAAACUAUUUUUAAAUGUUUCAAAUUAAAAUAUUUUAAAUUUAUCGUAGUAUAUAAAAUUAUACAUUUCAAAAUCCGUCACUAAGUCAAAAUUUUUAUUGAAAUUUGUUUUUGUUUUAAAAAUAUUUACCAAGUCUGAAUUUUGACCCAUUACAUUUUUUUCUUCAUAGAUUGAAUAAUUUAUAUUCGUUUUUAAAAAUUCGCAUAUGAAGAUAAAAAUCUAUUUUUUUUAUUAUAUGAAUGAUAUGAUGAUUUAUUUGUUUCAGAAAAAUAGAAUCAUAUAAAAAUGAGAGGUGAAGUAUAAUGAUUAAUAACAAAUUAAUAUGAUAAGUUAGAUAUCAAAUUUUAUAUGAUCAUUUUGAUUGGUCAUUUUUUUUAGAAAAACUAAUAAUGUAUUUUUGUUUUUAUAAUUAAAUUAAAAUUAAAAAAAUUGCAUAAAUUAGUUUUUGACUUGUUUAUUUUAUGGGAAAUUGUUAAAAAUGCCCCUUUUGGUGUGCCCCUUUUCAAAAAUACCCCUUUUAGAUGUCCAUUUUCAAAAACACCCUUUUUUAAAUCUAAAAUUUUUAUAAAGUUUUAUUAGGUUGAUAAGGUACUUAUGGAUUGUAACUACUACUUGAAGACUCGAUCCAAGUAUUUAUAAUGUUUUAUAAGGUGUUUUUAAAGGUUUUACAAGUUAUUUUAAAGGAUUUUUAAGGUUUUUCAAAGGUUUUACAAAAUAUUUUAAAGGUUUUUAAAGGUAUUUAAAAUGUAUUUAUAAGAUAUUUAUAAAGUAUUUAUAAGAUUUUAGAUACAUAGAAAUGUAGUUUGUGUAUGUUUUAAUAAUGUUACAUACAUAUUUGGGUAAAUCUUAUAUUUUUAAGAACAUUUUUUAUAAGGUUUUAAAGAAGGGGCAUUUUUGAAAAGUGGCAUUGAAAAAGGGGCAUUUUUGCAAAAACCCCUUAUUUUAAUGAGAUGAAUUAAUUUACUCUUUGAAAUUUUUUCUCUAAUGGCAAUCCUAUGCAAUAUCUUACAAAAUUUAAGGUUAUUUUUUUGGGAGACUCACAAAAAUGCCCCUUUUUCAAUACACCUUUUCAAAAAUGCCCCCUUUAGAUGUUCAUUUUUAAAAAUACCCCUUUUAUGUACAAAAUAACUAAAUUACCCUUCUUUUAAUAAAAGAUAUCAUAAAUAUAUAAGGAAAUAUAACAAAAUUAGGUCCACAAAAUACAAAAUAUUUUUUGGCGGGAAAAGUGAUCCCCCAAUUUUUCCCGCCAAAAUACUUGUAAAAAUUUGUAAAACCUUUAAAAUACCUUGUAAAAUUUUCCCGUAAAAUUUUUUCCCGCCAAAAAAUUUUCCCGCCAAAAAUUUUUUUUUGCGGGAAAAGUGAUUCCGCAAAUUUUUUGGCGUUUAAUUUUUGGCGGGAAAAAUUUUCAAGGUAUUUUAAAAGGUUUUUACAGGGUAUUUAUAAGGUUUUACAAUGUAUUUUAAAAGGUUUUACAACGUAUUUAUAAAGUAUUUAUAAGAUUUUACAAGCUAUUUUAUAAGGUUUUACAAGUUAUAAGGUUUUACAAGUUUUUUAUAAGGUUUUACAAGUUAUAAAUACCUUAUAAAACCUUAUAAGUACCUUGUAAAACCUUUUAAAAUACAUUGUAAAACCUUACAAAACACUUGUAAAUACUCCGUAAAACUUUUUAAAUACCUUGUAAAUUUUUCCCGCCAAAAAAAUUUCGGAAUCACUUUUCCCGCAAAAAAAAAUUUUUGGCGGGAAAAAUUUUUACGGGAAAAUUUUACAAUGUAUUUUAAAGGUUUUUACAAGUGUUUUGGCAGGAAAAUUGCGGGAUCACUUUUCCCGCCAAAAAAUAUUUUGUAUUUUGUGGACCUAAUUUUGUUUCAAAUAAGGGUAAAAUGAUCAUUAAAAAUUAAAAGAGGGCAAACUUAAAAAUGGACUCUCAAAAGGGGCAUUUUUGAAAAGGGGUAUUGAAAAAGGGGCAUUUUUAACAAUUUCUCUAUUUUUUUUUUUAAUGUACUUCCCAAAUAAAAAAGUAUAGGAUGCGAGAGAAAAUAAAAAUUGGAAUAUAGUUCUUAACAGAAAAUGUUGAAAGACUUUUAAAGCACACUGUUUUACAAUUUUAGACAGAGACUGUAAAACAUGAAUUUGAAUAAUUAUAUUAAGUCCUCAUAAUUUGGGCACAAACGUAACGAACAAGCGUAAUGUUCUUUUGUACCGGUCAUGAAGAAGGGGAACCGGCAACGAACUCUACAAAAGGCGCAGAGAGGUCGAGUAGCACCAUUGUUAGGAUGUACAUCUAGUUCAUGUCCUACCUUCAUGUAAUAUAGAUCUCCAAGUACACAAUCAAUAUGGAGACUUAGCCCACACUCAUCGCAAGUAUAGUAGCAUACACUCGGAUCUGUCUUCGUCUCACAAAUAUCACACCACAAGUCACCGCUUGCGUUUCCCACACCUUGACAUAGUGACAGAAAAUGAUCAUCACACCUGUGUUUUACCUUUCUUGGUAAAGUAGCGCACCUCAUGCAUAAAGAGUACUCAUCACAAACCGUGCAAUUUAAGGGAUCAUCUUCUAUUUCUUUGUUACAUGCCUGACAUCUCAAGAUGAUAAGAUUAAGAACACAAGACUUUAAUAAAGUAUAACUCUCUUUAUUAAUAUUAGCUUAAGAAAAACUCUCUCAAAACUUAAGCUCUCAACCCAAUUCUUAAUCUCUCCAAACAACUCUCUUAAAAACUCACUUAAGUUAUGCAACACACUUGCAUCUCCUUAUAUAAGAAAACCUCUAAACAAUUUUCUUUUUCUCUUUAGUAUAACUUCCUAAUCUCUUAUUAGGAUAAUUUCCUUUCUUUGUUUUGGAAACUUCAAGCUUUCUUCAAGCUUAAGUCAACAAUCUCCUCCUUAAGCUUGAACUCUUCUUUCUUCGAAUCUUGAACACCAAUGAGAUCUCUCAUCUCUUUGAAUUUGAUCCUUCCAAGUGCCUUUGUGAGUAUGUCUGCCUUUUGCUCAGUCCCGGGAACAUGUUCGACCUCUAUUUGACCAUUUUCCACACAUUCUCUGAUGAAAUGAUAUCUUCUGUGUAUAUGCUUACUUCUACCAUGAAAUACAUGGUUCUUCGUCAAGGCAAUUGCAGACUGAUUGUCGAUUCUUAUCGUAACCUUCACACUUGCCUUUCCAAUGAUUUCACAGAGCAGAUCUUGUAACCAUAUGGCUUGCUUUGCAGCCUCAGUCCCAGCCAUAAACUCAGCUUCGCAUGAAGACAGAGCUACCACAUCUUGUUUCUGUGAGCACCACGUUAUUGGUCCUUCUCCUAAGUAAAAUAUGUGACCAGAAGUACUCUUACCAUCAUCCGGAUCAACAUUGUGGCUGCUGUCACUGUAUCCUAACAACUUUGGUAACUUUGCUCUUCCAAAACUUAAACCGAGACUUGUAGUUCCUUUUAGAUACCUCAAACAAUGCUUCAUUGCUGCUCCAUGCGAUUCUCGGGGACUUUGCAUGUAUCUGCUGAGAAUUCCAACACAGUAUGAUAGAUCUGGGCGUGUGUGGAGUAGGUAACGUAAGCAUCCAACAUUCUUUCUAAAACUUGUUGCAUCAAUCUCUGUCUCAUCCUCUGCUUUAGACAAUUUCAGCCCCAUCUCCAUUGGUGUAUGCGUCAAAUUGCAGUCUUUCAUUCCAGCUUCUUCAAGAAUCUUCUGAGCAUAGCGAGUUUGAUUUAAAGUUAUACCUUCCGGAUGUUGAUUCACCUCGAUUCCCAAAUAAUAUGUCAAUUUGCCAAGAUCACUCAUCUCAAACUUGGAUGACAUCUCUUUCUUGAACUCAAGAAUCGACUUUAGACUUGUUCCUGUAACAAACAGAUCAUCGACAUAAACUCCAAUAAUCAACAGGUGCUCACCAAUCUCCUUGCGAUACACUGAUGGUUCUUUUGAGCAUUUAACGAAUCUGAGCUCAUGUAGAUUUGUAUUCAAUUUGUUAUUCCAAGCUCUCGGGGCUUGACGCAAACCAUACAGAGCUUUAUUGAGCUUGUAAACUUUGUUUUCACUCCCACUCUUAUGAAAACCUUCAGGUUGCUGCACAUAAACAGUUUCUUUAAGUUCUCCAUGAAGAAAAGCUGUUUUAACAUCCAAAUGAUGGAUUUCCCAACCAUAUGCAGCAGCAAGAUCAAUUAAUAGUCUAAUUGUCACAAUUCUAGCCAUUGGGGCAAAAACUUCUUCAAAAUCCACACCAUAUUGUUGCACAUAACCUUUUGCAACUAGCCUUGCUUUGUGCUUGUUUAUGCUUCCAUCUGAGUUCCUCUUUAGUUUAAACACCCAUUUGAGUCCAAUUGGUUUUACUCCUCUUGGCAAGUCAACAAGAUUCCAUGUUUUCAACUUCUCAAUAGAUCCUAAUUCCUCUUCACACGCAUGUAUCCAUUCUUUGGACUCCUUUGCCUCGUCGAAAGUUCUUGGUUCAUUGUUUAAACACAAUAACAAUGCUUCUCCUUCCUCUUAUGCAAGGAGUACAUAAUCCUCAAGAUACUUUGGCAUAUGUUUUUCCCUUUCUGACAUUCUUAACACAAUUGGUGACGAAUUUGGUAUCAAAUCUUGCUCAGCAAUCUCGUUUUCUUCUUCUCUGUUCUCUGCAUCAUCUAGCAAAUCUCUGUUUUCUGCAGAUUGUUCUUCUUCCAUGCUUUCAUCAAGGCCAUGAUUUCCAAAACCAUCAGUCAUAACUCUAAAACUUCCACUGCUAUCUCUCAUGACAUCUUCUACCUUCCAGCUCCAUCCUUUAUUUUCAUCAAAAAUAACAUCUCUACUAACUGUGAUUUUCUUUGUAGUAGGAUUUAGUAGGCGAUAUGCCUUAGAUCCAGGCUCUGUUCCUAAAUGAACAAGAACACGUGUUCUGUCAUCUAACUUCUUCAAGUGUGGAGCUUCGAUCUUUGCAUAGCCAAUACAACCAAACACGCGGAUGUGAGCGAUGUUUGGUAUCUUGCCUCUAAACAUCUCAUAAGGUGUUUUGUCCUUAAGAGCCCUUGUUGACACUCGAUUAAUCACAUAUGUUGAGUGUCGUACUGCUUCACCCCACAGAUAAUUUGGCAUCUCCAUAUGCUUGAGCAUGCUUCUUGCCAUCUCCAUCAAAGUCCUGUUUCUCCUCUCCAUUACUCCGUUUUGUUGUGGGGUAUAAGGCGCUGUGAGAUGUCUCUUGAUGCCAUGGUUCUCGCAGAAAUUAUUGAACUCUGCAGAUACAAACUCUCCUCCUCUAUCCGUUCUGAGAGUUUGUAUCUUCUCCUCUGUUUCUUUUUCUACUAACAUCUUGAAGUUUUUGAAUUUCUGAAAUGCAUCUCCCUUCUCUCUCAGCAAAAUUGUCCACAUGUACCUUGAAAAAUCAUCAAUAAGAACAAAUAUAUAUCUGUUUCCAGCUCUUGUACUUGGAGUAAUUGGGCCACAAAGAUCACCGUGCACAAGCUCAAGUUUCUUUGUAGCACGGUAUGAGGUCGCCUGAGGGAAAACUCUUCGAGUUUGUUUUCCUAGUAAGCAUGAUCUGCACAAUUUCUUCUCAAGUGGUGUACUCGGAGCUCCAUCUACAAGCCUUUUACUAAUCAUGGAGUUUAGAGUGUCAAAGUUGACAUGACCCAUUCUUGCAUGCCACCUACUUGAAUCGUCUUGCUCUGUUAGAUACAAACAUGUAUCGUCUUUCAAUCCCAUUCUUACUUUAUACAGUCUAUUUGGAGACCUCUCGGUUCUGACAAGCAGUUUUCCAUCUCGAUCUUGCAUUGUUAGGUAUCCUUCUCGUAACCUAAUAUCACAUCCUGCUUCAGUGGCCUGUCCAAGACUAAUUAUAUUGCUUCUUAAACCAGGGAUGUAAUACACAUCCAUCAUCUUCCUUGAUUUCCCAUUCAGAUCUAUGAAAGCAAUCGUUCCUUUUCCCUUUAUAUCAAUGCGAGAAUCAUCUCCGAACCUCACCUUUCCUGUAAUUGUAGAGUCUAGUGUAUCAAAAUACCUCUUGUCUCCAGUCAUGUGAUUGCUAGCCCCAUUAUCCAAAUACCAGAUGUCUUGUUUAUCAGUGUUUGUCUCAAACUUGCUAGGCACACAGUGUUUUUCAUUUAGAAAAACAACUUCAUGAAUCAUGAGUUCAUCAGCCUCCGAUGUGUUCUUCUAUGUUUCUUGAGUCUCCUGCAGUUUUAGAAUUCUAUUCGGGCAAUGACUUGCAAAGUGACCUAACUUGUCACAUCUGAAACAUGUAACUUGGUAGAAAUCUAUGUUUCUUCCUCCAUAUCUCCCACGGCCUCUUCCUCGAUUGAAUCUGCCUCCUCUUCCUCUUCCUCUGUAGUUUCCACUGUAAUUUCCAUUGUAUUCUUGAUUAGAAGAGUGAGUAUUAGCAUACAUAAGUUUGCUUUGUUCUUCUUGAGGUUCAGUUGAAUCUUCUUCUUCUUUGAUUCUUUCUUCAUAAGCUUUAAGACGCCCAACGAUUUCUUCAAAGCUUGUUGUAUUAAGAUCGAGUACUUGUUCCAAAGAAGCCACAAUCUGAAUAUACUUUUGUCGAGGAAGACAUUUAAGGAACUUUCUAACCAGUUUUGGCCCUUCAAUAGUUGUUCCCAGAGCUGUAGACUUUGAAGAUAUCUCGGUUAUUCUCUUCACAAAUUCAUCAAUAGUCUCUGAAUCUUUCAUCUUUAAUCGGUCAAAAUUGGCCAUUAAAGUCUGCAGCCUAGCUUCUCUAACUCGUUCUGCUCCUACAUGCUUAGCUUUGAUGGAAUUCCAAACUUCUUUAGCUGUAUCAAGUUCUCCUACUUCAAGGACUUGAUCUUCUGGUAUUGAUUCAAACAAGAGUGCUAUGGCUAGAUCGUUCUUCUCUUCAUCGACCGCCUCUGCUUCAAUAGUUUCCCAAACUUUAUGAACCCUCAGUAUUCUCUUCAUUCUCAUUGCCCAAACUGUAUAGUUUGUAGCGUUUAGCAUCGGACAGGUGAUGGAGGAUGAGCCUCCUUUCUCUUUUGGAUUUGCCACGACGAUGGCAGUACUUUCUCCUUCUGACAUGAUUUCAAGCUCUGAUACCAAAUCAAGAUGAUAAGAUUAAGAACACAAGACUUUAAUAAAGUAUAACUCUCUUUAUUAAUAUUAACUUAAAAAAAACUCUCUCAAAACUUAAGCUCUCAACCCAAUUCUUAAUCUCUCCAAACAACUCUCUUAAAAACUCACUUAAGUUAUGCAACACACUUGCAUCUCCUUAUAUAAGAAAACCUCUAAACAAUUUUCUUUUCCUCUUUAGUAUAACUUCCUAAUCUCUUAUUAGGAUAAUUUCCUUUCUUUGUUUUGGAAACUUCAAGCUUUCUUCAAGCUUAAGUCAACAACAUCGUCUGGAACUUUGCAAGGUAAAGUAUAAGGGAUGUUGAUGCAGAUCAUGGUGAAACGGUUCCGAUACAGAACUACACCGAACAUCAUACUGAAUACUAUUAAUUUUGCAAUCUUCAUGAAGACACUCGUACAUGAAACCAUCAGUAUAGAUUUCACAAGCUCCACACUGAAGAUUACUAUCUUCAUUAAUAGGUGUCGGCAAUGAAAGAGUGAGUUUAUGGUUGUGCAAUAAAUGUCGCUUCUUCCGAGGAAGAUUAGCACAGGCUUCGUGAAGGAUGAAAUCACAUUCCACGCAUCGGUAGCAUGGAUCACCGUUGAUAGCAAGAAUGCAACACCGACAUCGCAUGUGAGCAUCAUCCGUAACAUAAUUCUCAUCCAAUCUGAGAACAUGCUCUUCAUGACUAAAAUGAACGAUAUCUCCAUUUUCAUUAAUUACCUUGAAUGGAUCUUCGAUUUCUUCUUCUUCUUCGGGAACAUCUUCGAGCUCUAACCCAUCCCACACUUCUUUUCUUGUUGCACAUCUUGAAUGAACGGCAUAACUAGGACAACGAGAGCAUUUAUAACCUCCAUAGACCCAAUUAAUCGUCUUCCGACAAACUCCACACUCCCAAUUAUCUCCUUCUCUUUCACCGAGAUGAAAAGUAUGAGAUAUGCGAUGGUCAUGACGAUUUAUGCUUAUGACUCGCGGUAGAUCCUCAAUACAAUCUUUGUGGACCAUCAGAUUGCAUUCAAGACAUACAUAAGGAUUGCGGUCGUCUUCCACACCACAAGCAUUACAAGUAAAGGUGACUAGCCUUAACAAGAGGGUGAGACUAUGCUUAUGGUGCUUUGGUUCAGAAAUUGUGAGUGGUGGCAAUGCAAGAAAACAGUUUUUAUCCACGUUUAUGUUGCAUAUCGUGCAACGAACAAAGAAAGACGUAAGCUUACUUUGACAAAAAUGACAAGAGUAGUCAUCUAUACGGUCAGAUGAUGUGGAAGUAUUAGGGAAGAUCUUGAGAUUGUGAUUGCACAGAAAUGGCUAGUUGAGGUAGAGAAGGUCAACGCAUUCUUUGUGCAACGUCAAGCCGCAAUCCGUACAGUGAUAGCCUAUGUGAGUGACUGUAUGUCUUUGCAAACUAGAGAUGUCAGGAAAAGAGCACAAAGAGCAAAAAGAAGGCCAUAGUUGAAAAGUAUAACUUGAUAAAGGAUGAUGAUGAAACGGAAACGUGAGUUUAGGCAUGGUGGCUACUUGGAAAUCAGUAGAAGACAUUUUUUAUGAUCAAAGAAGAAAGAGAAAGCAGAAGUUGAGUUAUAUAAUUUGUGUCCUGUGAACUCUCCUCAUCAUGUACUAGUACUUAUUAACUUCCGUGGAACUCAUAAAAUUCAUUUUUAGUUUAUUUUCUUUGUACCAAUUAAUGGUAAUUGGUCGGCCGACACUGCCAGCUAAUUGAAAUAUUAAAAAAUUUAAACAUACGCAAGUUUAUUACAAGUUGUAAAAAAUAUCUAUAUUCCAAAUGAAAUAAAUAGUACUUGUUUGAGUCUCUUGGCUACUCCCAUUAGCCUAUUGGACUUUCGGCAUAAAUUAUAUAUAUGAAAGGAGGCUAUCUUUCUCCAUAUGCUUGACAUGUCAGCACACGAGAGCUUGCCAUGUGUCAACAUAAAUUAAAAGCAAACUCACAAAGUCCUCUAGGUUAACCCUAACUAGCAAAACAAGUUUAACUAUCCGUUUGGCCUAGGGAAUAUGAAACAUCUUCCAUGUCUUUUAUUCUCUUCAUAUCACGAACGGUUUCAGCAUUUACGUAAGAGAUCUAGAGAGACUUAGAACAUGUCGAUGAAUAACAUAAUAAAGGAGAUGCAUCACCAAAAAAUAAGAGGGCAUCGAGAGUGAAACCGUAAAGAGUCGCUUCUUCCUCUCGGCGUAAACCAUGAAGAUAUGGUUUGGGCGUUACAAGUUACAACUUUAUCUUUCACUUCUAAAAGUGAAUCGAGAACACAAAACCCUUUGCUGGAUAAUCUUAAAAGGUUAGUUCUCCGACAAAAAGAUGAAUCCGUGAUAUGCACAGACGAAGGGGUCGCCACUGGUACAGAGGUUGCGAGACGUUAUCUCCCGCUCUGAUUUAAUCCAAAAUUUCCAAAGAGAGUCACCAGCCUAGAAUCUUCGAAAAUAGUUAGAGACUUGAUCUCCGCCGGGCAUGGAUGAAACUGACGACAACGAGGAGAAGAAGGACAUGUUAUCUUUUUUAUUUUCGAAUUGAUUAUCAUCUGUAUUAUUACCUCAUUCUACGACAUGUUGUCUUACCAGGAAAAUCUCUUGACGUUUCAAAUGUCAACGCUAAAAUCCAUAAGGCUGUGACAGAAGCUUGUCAAUUGAUUUCAUUCCUAGCUAUGUUCAUCCUGAGGACAUUAGCCAUGGCUCACCACAUGAUCGAAAAAUGCAGGUUUCUCUCUUUCUCAAAAUUUUAGGCACAAAGAUGAUGACUCGAGUUUAAAAAUGAUAAUCACGUGUACACAUGAUUUGACAUGUGUGAUCAUCAUUUGAUUUUUGCUCAGAUAGUUUUUUUUUUCCCUAUCUAUGGCUUCAAAAUUGUUUAUUAAGAAGUUCUGAUGAAAAUUGAUUCAAGAGUGGUUCUUUUUGUCUGAAUGAUAUGUUGUUGAGGAGAUGUUGGAAAAAAUAUGGUGACACUAAUAGUACUAUGUACGUUAAUUUCAAAUAUCUAAGUAAUCGAUUAACUGAUUUUUUUCUCUGUUGUAAUCGAUGUAUGUACUAUUAGUAGUGAGUCUUUAUUUUGUUCAUGAGAUUUUCAGUUCCUGUCAGAUUCUACCAUACAGAUUGAGCCAAAAAAAGAUGAACUAAAAGAAGAAAAAGAAUGGACUAAAGACAAAGCAACCUUGAACAUCAUACAUCUUUUGGUUCAGUAUAAAGCAAAACCCUUAUCUUGACUUGCAUUCAUCGUUCUAAAACAGAAAGACCUUGUGAAGCUAGCUAUAACAUCUUCCAAAUGCCUUCUUGGUUUAUUCAAACGUGAGGAGGUUCUUUAUGUUAAAGAAAACAAGAACAAUGUCGGAGGUAAUCUGAUUAAUAUAAUAUCAUAAUCCACCUUUUAAUUGUGGUUCGAUCAUUCGUUCGAAUAUAUGAAGCUACUAUAUAUGUGCGAUUGAAUAUAAUUUUUGGAAUAGGACCCACCCAAAGGCGAAUUUAAGAGCAAGACAAUUGAAACUGUUGUCAAAAAUUAAGAAGAGUCAUGAAAUAGUUUUAGUUAUGUGGAUUACAUUAUGUUUUUCUUUCUUUUUGUUGGCAUGGUAAUAUUUGAGAUGAUUUGAUUCUUUAGGAUUUGGGAACAAUCAGUCUAGGGAUAUUGUUUUUGUCACACCAAAACUCAACAUUCUAUUUAGUGGAAUACAUCAAGAGGAAUAAGAGCUUAAGUUUGAUUGAAUCUCGACAUCAAUAAAGGAGGUACUAAUAUAGAAAGUGUUUUAGGAAAGCUCAAGCCUGGAGACGUGAGGAUGGCGUCUACCAUAUAUGAUAUAUAUGUGUUUCUCCAAGCAAUGAGCCAUCUCAGAACAGUAAUAAUUGCUACAUGCAACAAACAAACAAGCGAAAAUGAAAAAUAAACGCAAGGACCUUGAUCUUUCAGAAAGAGUUCUAGAAGUGAAAACUAAAAGCACGAAACUUAGAGAAAGCUUGUUGGACAAAAAGGACGAGCCAAAGAAUGUUUAUGUAGCAAAUAGAAUGCUAGAGAAAUGGAGGUUUGUCAUUGGAAAAAAAUCGAUGAGUUACCAUAUGUGAAUGAAAGCAGGGUGGAUACCCAUAAAAAUCUACAGAGCAUUAUUCAAGAAGAUGGGGAGCUCAGAGUGAGGGAGACAUAUCUCAAUAAGAUUGAGCAGUUGUCAGAAAAAAUUGAGAUCUUGUACUAUAAAGCAUUGUUCAAGAAGUUGAGGAGCUCGGAGGAAGGGAACUCACUUGUUUGCAGACGAUUGAAAAGUUGUCAGUAGUGACCAAGAGAUUGGUUAAUAUUUCAGAGCAAUUAAUGAAAGUUAGGUGCUUACAAAAAGAAGUUUUAUAUCAAGAAGAUUAGGGAUUCUUUCACUAUCGAAUGAAAGAUAGUUGAGAAAAAAUCAAAACUGUAGAAUGUUGGUUUAGGAAAAUACAGAGUGAAAGAGGAAGGGAGUAGGCGAAAUAAAAAAGAGGAAGGGAGUCUUCUUAUUCUAAGAUUGGAAAGUUAUCAACAAGGAAAAUGAAAUCGUUUCUUAUUAAAAAUCAAACUCUAGAGUUAUAUUCAAGAAAAUGAAGAGCUAAAACGGAAGGUAUCUAUCUUAACUAUAUGAAAGGGUUAGCGAAGCUGCAAGAAAAUCUUCUUGAUAAAAAAAAUCCUAGAGAUAUGAAGACCAUAGAGCCAAAGAAAUGAGAAGCUUAAAUACGAAUAUAUUUAAUCACUUAAGAUUACGACAAGAAUUUUAGAAUGUUUCAUUCAAAUCUCUUUAUCUACCAAUUAAACAAGGAGGCAAAUAGUACGAUUAUUUUCACUUUCUAAACAAAAAAUAUUUGACUACAAAAAUCAAAGUUUUAGAAUUAGGUUUAGCUUCAAACAAAAUUGAGGAAUAGUUAUUUGUCUUUCAUCUUUGGUAUUCUUCGCCGCAUUUUUUUUUCGAUGAAUAUAUGAUUUUUUAUCAUGUGAAAAUUAAAGUAACAAAGAAAGUAAAUGGUAAACAAACCCGCGCGUAGCGCGGUUAUUCACCUAGUAUUAACUAAUGAUCGCUAUCUGCCAACUACUCCUGUAAAGAUUCUUGACAAUUUGAUAGAUAAUUUAUUAGUUGAACAAAUGGGUGGGUUUAAAUAUGCAUAUAAAUUAUUGAAACCAUGAUAUGUGGUAACAAAACAGCUGUAAAAUAAUGAUACACUGUAAAAUAAUGAUACACUAAGAGCAAACACAGUGGAGCAAUAGAUGUUCGGGUGUUAGUUAUAAAUAAUUGAGAAAUAUUGCAAAAGUUACAUUUUCAACAAAAUCCGGAUGUGUAGACUUACACUCAAGUGUGAGUCAUUAUAAAAAUAGAAAAAAAUUUCUUCUCUCUAUCUCUUUAUCUCUUUCUUUUCUCUCUUUCUCUUUUAAUUAUAAUAAUAAAUAAUUACUUACAUCCACAAUUACACAUUUGCCAAUGUGAAUGCCCUAAUAAUAUAUGACCCUGAUCACUUGUUACGAUAAAGCCAACGUGGUAACAUGUAUCAUCGGGUCCACCACUUCAUAUUACCAAAAGUCGUCGCCUUCUUUGGAAUUUGUAAAUUAAAAAAAUAACAAAUUAGAAACUAGAUAUAUACACUAUUAUCUUGACAUUUUCAACCUACCAACAAAUCUCCCUUGCUAACUCUGCUUUGCCUUUUUCUUUUCAUAUUGUAAACAUUUUGAUUUUUGAGUAGGGAAGAUUUGACUCUCAAAUAUCACUAAAACCCCAACUCUCUCUCUUUAGUGAUUUUCAAAAGUUUCUACGUGCUUUUGCAACUUUCCACAAACACAACGUUAACUAACGGUUGUGGUUAAAUACGAUUGACACCAAUCAUAAAUAAUCGUUACGUGUCGCUUCAUAAUGUUUAUAAACACAUAGAAAUUAUUAAAAUGAACUCAUGACUUUACAAGUUCAAUUAAAUUCUUUUCAAACUUAUCAAUAUAACCAUCUGCAAAACCAGAGUCAGUCAAAACACAUCUCCACUUCUCAUGAUUCUUCCUCACUUUAUCACUGACCUCACUACCUUCCUCCAUCACACUCUUCACCGCAUUCUCCAAGCUCCGCUGCGAGAACCACCCAUUCUCUUCCCUCUCCACUUCAACCGCCACCUCCAUCUCCUCUGUCAUCAGCCUCGCGUUCAAAAUCUGUUCUCCGUGCUGUGGAACCAGAACUAUCUGACAAUUACUCAUCAAAGACUCCCACAUCGACCCAAACCCGCAAUGGCUAACGAAACAUCCCACUGAAGGAUGGUUCAACACCAACGGUUGCUGAAUCCAACCGCCGUACACAACGCCACGUCCUUGAACCCUCUCUUUGAAUCCUUCCGGUAACGCUUCCUCGACGGUUGAUACACCCGAAGGAGGCUUAAUAGCCACCAGAAACGGGAAACCGGUAGAUUCUAGCCCUAAACAGAGUUCUUGAAACUGAUCUAUCUUGUCUACAACGGGUUGGCUACCGAAAGCACAGAACACAACUGAACCGGGGUUGAAUUUGGCUAGCCACUCUGCCCAUUGAGGCUCUAAGGAGGGCUGAUUAGGUUGGGAUCCAGGGAGAACCGGUCCGGUUAGGUAAACCGGUUUGCUGUACUGGCUACUGAUGUAAUCGCAGAAUUUGCCUUCUGUCUCACGGCAAGUCCUUAUAGCGAUUGCGUCAGAGUUUCUCAUAGCGGUAACUUUCCCGUCAAAGAAAGAAGCAAUACCCUCGUGCUUCCUCCACACGAAGGUUAGGGCUUUUGCUUCGUGCGCACGCAAGACGACUUUCGAAGAAGGGUAACCUAGAGGCGUCUUAGCUAACUCCUCCCCUGACAUUUCCUUCCCAUCAAUGACCUCUCGCUCGGCUGCAGGUACAAGAGACAGUGCGAUUGACGCAGCGCUCACAAUGUUGAAGCAAACGGUUUUUGCACCCACCGGUUUAGCAAUUUCCGGUAUCCAAUGGGCAGAAUCAUAGAAAACCAAGUCCGGUUUGAUUGUACGGAAAAUUGUCUCAACCUCUGGGCGGGUUUGGUCCAUUGCAAUUGCAAGCAAAUGAGUCAAGAAGAAGGGGACGUCGGAGUUUGUUUCUGCACCGGGAGGGAGCCCUUUGACCUGAGGGAUUGAGAUGGUGCGAAAAGUGAUGAGAUUUGGGUAGAGAUUAAGAGGUUCGAGCUGGUUUAGUGCUUUCUUGGGAAGCAAGAAAACAAUCUUGUGACCUUUCUCUGCGAGCUUGUUUGAUAGGUGAAGAAAAGGAGUCAUGUGACCAAAGGCUAACCACGGAUACAUAACAAUGGUCAUGCUUGAGGAACCAUUUGAUCCAAAAUCACCCAUUUUUUUGGCUCUGUCUUGCACUUUCUUCAACUACCGGAAGAUUUGUUAGAGUUUUUAUUUUUGUUUCAUAUCUGAGUUAUGUGUUUUAAGUGUGUAUAUAUGUACAUAAACCCAUUAACGGAUUGGUGAGUGUCGUGAUGAAUGGUGUAUUGGGUAACCAAAUGACCGGGAAAGUGUAACCUCCUGGUAAGUGCAAACACGUGAUGGUGUCGUAACAUCAACAAAAAGACAAAACCAGACUUCAUGUGGUCAGUCAUGGGCCUGAAAGAUUCGGCCCACUUUUUAAACAAAUUGAAGGUCGUUAGUUCGUUACUUAUUAAUCCCACAGUCAACGUUUGUAUGUUUUAAUUCAAAGGUUGUUUACGAACGAUUGUCAAAGUGGUAACUCUCUGAAUUAAUUUAACGUUUCUUUCGUUUUAUUACAAUAUAAUUUUUUUUGUUUAUAUGGUUACCUAGUUGUGUUACUUUAUGUGCUACUACUGUAGUGAAGCCAGGGCUAGCUCAACUCCCUACCAUUCCUGGGUUUUUUCCACCCGGCUCCCAAGUUGAUCUCGCAAAAUGUUGGUCAUCGCUCAUCACAUUCAAGGUUGCGAAGUCGAAAUCUUUAAAUCUGUUUUAACCGGUAAGAUUGAAAACGUUGGACCAACAUGCUGCAAGGCGUUUACGAAAGUGGAUGCAAACUGUUGGCCAAAAAUGUUUUCGUUGAAUCCGUUAUUCCCUCCUCUUCUCAAGGAUGGUUGCUCUCGCAUCAUCGCAGGUGCACCCGCUGCACACACGACACCUCAGUUCCCUGUCAUCUCUGGGUUCUCUCUUCUUGGUUCAGGCCCGGCCCGCCCAUAAAGCAGCCAAAGCUUUUGCUUUAGGCCACAUAAUAUAAAUAAGAUUUUAGAGCUGUAUGUCCAAUUUGUUUGCUGUGGUCAAGUUGGAUGUGUAUUAUUUCAAUGACUCACUUUUCGUCAGUUCGAGUCUUUCAAUAUAUACGUUUCUCUUGUUUUUUUUUUUUCUCUUUUCUAUUUCCUUUUGACUUUUUACAUGUCUUUCUUUUUCCUCUUUUACGUGUCUUUCCUUUUUGUUUUGUAGAGUAGGAGAAAAUUGUUUUUUAUUUAUUUAUUAAUUUAUGUUUAGUUGUUUUUUUAGCAACCAAAUCUCCAAAUAUUCUAUUUAACUUGGCUAGUAGCCUAGUAGGUGUUAUGAUAUUCUUAACUUUCGCUAACAAAUCUGAAUUUUAAAAAUUUAAUGACUUUUUCUAAUGCAUUUUUUCAAACAUAUUUUGAUAAUUUUUUAACAUUAAUUUUUAUAUCAAAAAUUAUAUUUUAAAUAUGCUUUAGGCCACCAAAAUCCUAAGACCGGCCCUGUCUUGGUUCUCCGGUCGAUCUCACAAAAUGUUUGUCAAUUGUCAUCACUUGUAAACGCUCAAGGUUACAUAACUGAAAUCUUAAAUCUACAAAUCAGUUUUCACAGGAAAGUUUGGUAAUGUCAGGGCCGGCCCGCAGGACAGGCCACCCAAGCGGUGGCUUGGGGCACCACAAUUUUUUUUUUUUAUAAGGUUUUUUUUUUUUUGGGUAAAAAGGUCCAUAAAAUGAAAAUAUUUGGUAAAAACUAAAGUCUUUUUCGAAAAAAAUAAAUAAAAUAGGGCCCAAACAAUUAAAUUUGAAUGUAAUAAUAUUCAAAAUAUCAUUAUUUUUGUAUAAUUUAUUAAAAAUAGGUCAAAAAAAAUUUUAGCCCUAAAACUUAUAAAUAUAUUGGGCUUCAUUUUAUUUUUCGUGUAGGGCCUCACAAAUGUUCGGACGGGCACUGUGUUAGACCAAUGUGUUUCAAGGCGUUGUCGGCAAUGGAUGCAAAAUGUUGACAACAAAUGUUUCCGCUAAAUCCGUUAUUUCCUCCUGUUCUCAAAAAUGAAUGUUCUCGCAUCAACAUAGCCGCUCCUACACAAGUGAAGUAGCUAUGGCCUAUGGGACCAUCAUUCAGAAUGUUUUAAAUUAGGCAAUUAAAUUCAUGAAUUUCCCUAUUUCAGAUGUUGGCUUGUUGGUUUGUUCUAGGUUUUAGUAUCUACAAUAAUAUUAAAAAAUUCAAGUUUCUAGCUUAAUCUCACAACUAUCAUCUAUAUAUAUAUACAUAGCUUGUUUAGAUAUUAGCUUGUUUUAAAACCGGAGAUUUCCAUCUACGUCCAAACCGAAUGGUUAUCUGGUUUUUAACCGCCGGUUAUUAUCUAUCGGUUAGGACUCGGUUCGAGUCGCUUCCUCUCCUCUGUCUGUGCGACUGAAUCGUCGUCUUCAUUAGUAGCUCGAGCCGAUUGAUCACUUGUCGAUGGGAACGGAGUUUCAACAGAUUGCGCCAUGGAAUGAGAGCUUCUAGCUUCGAAAGGCCCUUUCUUUCAAUGAACCCAGGUGCUUAAAAUUCUUAAUUUCAUCCCUUUUUCGAACGAUUGAGUUCUUUACCAAUGACUCAUCUUCAUCCUUUUGUAAAACAUAAUCUAGGGGUAUAUGAUUAGUGUCAAUGGAGCAAUAGUCAAGUCACAAGACGUACGAAAUGUAAGUUGAUCUCGUCGUAUAUGACCUUUUCUUUAGUUUUCCCACUCAAACUUUAUUGUAAAGUAUGUGAAAAUUAUUCAAAUUAUACACAAGUCACAAUUUGUUCAAAGAUUUUGUUAUACCAUUUCUUUUGUCUGGCAGAUUAAGCAAGGUUUUUUUUUAAAAAACACAACUUUCUUGUUUCAAGGACUUGGUGUCUUAUUAUAAUAUAUAACAAUUCCGUUCUGUUGAAUGGACCCUUUAUUUGUUGACUUUGUAGCUAUAUUGAGUUUCCAUUUUGAAUGACUUGUGGUUAAAUUCUUGAACUGAUUAUGUGUUGAUCAGGACCAUUUUUGCUCUGCUCUCUUGUUUUUUGUAAAAUCUUUCUUCUUUCUCUUUUUAUGGGCAACUCAAUCUUUUUACUUUCAUUGAUAUUUGGUCUCCCUUUCAUUGUUGAUUCAGUUAACUUUAAGUGUACUAGUUUUCGUCCAGGUGAUCCUGAGAAUGUGGUUUACCACGGGGAUGCAAUGCCCGAUGGUGCGGUAAACUUCAACAACGUAGAGUAUAUAGCUCGUGUUGGUUGGGUUACUUAUGCUGAGAAAGUGCCUCUAUGGAAUCCUAAAACUGGUAAGUCUACGGAUUUUAAUACCAGUUUUUCUUUCAGAAUUGAUACCCGUAACCUUUCGAAUUACGGUCAUGGGAUCUGCUUUUUUCUUGCUCCUGUUGGAACUCAACUCCCUGUGAACUCAGCUGGUGGUUUCUUGGGUCUUUUUACUCGAAUCGAAGAUCACAUAUCUUCGUUUCCGCUUGUUCAUAUUGAGUUUGACUCAUUCAGUAACAAAGAAUGGGAUCCUACAACUGUUGGAUCUCAUGUGGGAAUCAAUAAUAACUCGCUUGUUUCGUCUAACUACACCUCUUGGAAUGCAAGCUCACACAGCCAAGAUAUUGGUCAUGCAAAGAUCUCAUAUAACUCUGUUACUAAGAACUUGAGUGUGUCUUGGGCUUAUGAAUUAACGUCUGAUCCUCUGGAGAGUGUAGGCAUUUCUUAUAUCAUUGAUCUUGCAAAGGUUUUGCCACCAGAUGUUACGGUCGGGUUUUCAGCCGCUACUGGAUCAAACAUAGAGGGACAUAGACUUUUAUCAUGGGAGUUCAGCUCAAGUUUGGAUAGUGAGAAAGCCUCUAUCAGGAAAGGACUGAUAGUUGGCAUUUCGGUUUCUGGGUUUGUUUUUCUGUUCUCUUUGGUCACAAUUGUGGUUGUCUUGUUGCAGAAGCAUAGAAAAAGAAAAGCAAAAGAGAUAAAAGAUUUGGUAUCGUUAAACGAAGACCUUGAACGGGAUGCAGGACCACGGAGGUUUGUUUAUAAGGAUCUUGUUAUAGCAACCAACAAAUUCUCAGCCCAGAGGAAGCUGGGUGAAGGAGGGUUUGGAGCCGUUUAUAGAGGUUACUUGAACGAAAUGGAUAUGAUGGUUGCAGUGAAGAAAUUGUCUGGUGGUUCCAAGCAGGGAAAGAAAGAGUUUGUAACCGAAGUUAAGAUCAUUAGCAAACUGCGACAUCGAAACCUGGUGCAACUCAUUGGUUGGUGUAAUGAAAAAAAUGAGUAUUUACUGAUAUAUGAGUUCAUGCCGAAUGGUAGCUUGGACACUCACCUCUUUGGGAAAAGACCCCAUCUCUCCUGGGACAUACGAUACAAGAUAGCGCUCGGUCUAUCCUCUGCGCUUCUAUAUCUUCAUGAGGAAGGAGAUCGGUGUGUAUUGCAUAGGGACAUCAAGGCAAGCAAUAUCAUGUUGGACAUCAAUUUCAAUGUAAAAGUAGGUGACUUUGGACUGGCUCGAUUGAUGGACCAUGGACUAGGUUCCCAUACAACAGGGAUAGCAGGAACUUUUGGGUACAUGGCUCCAGAAUACGUGAUUGAUGGAAGGGCAAGCAAGGAAUCCGACAUCUAUAGCUUUGGAAUUGGUAUACUAGAGAUUGUCACAGGGAAAAAGUCGGUCGAUCUUUCACAAGAAAACACUGAGACUGAGGCUGAGACGAGUCUUGUGGAGAGAGUGUGGGAUUUGUAUGGAAGACAAGAACUUAUGUCAGCCAUUGACAAGAAACUCGGUGAGGAUUUCGAUAAGAAACAAGCCGAGUGUUUACUGGUUGUGGGGUUAUGGUGUGGUCAUCCUGAUAGAAACUCAAGGCCUUCUAUAAGACAAGCGAUCCAAGUACUGAACUUGGAGUCACCAUUGCCUCAGCUUCCUCCGAAGAUGCCCUCUGCUACGUUUCACAUCUCACCUUCUUCUUCUCUCUUGCUUAGCUCAAACAGAGUUUCAGUCAUUCAAGUUAGUCGGGAGCAGAUGAUGAGAGAUGAGGAAGAUCUUGGUGGCCUUUGCGGUUCAGAAACUUGAGUGUAAUCCUAACUUACAUAAUUGCCAAAGAUCUUUGUCUGUGUGUGUAUGUGUACUAUGUGGUUUUGGUUUUGCAUGAUUUCUAUUAUUUGAAUAGGAGGAUUUACCUUUGCCUCCUCCUUCCGUUUACUUUUGAUAGUUUAUCUUUGCCUCUGCCUGUUAUUUUUUUUUUUAAUCAAAGUAUUUGCUCUGUUUUUGAGAUAUUUUUCAAGGAAACAACCAGGCCAGACAUUCCGUUAACUCUUCGGUUUCAGUUCGGUUGUGUUCGGUUUCAGUUAGUUUGGAUAUGGUAAUAUAAUAACUAUCCGGAUACUUGAGAAAUUUCAGUUCGGAUUGGUUUGGUUUCUUUUCUUUCGAUUCGGUUCGGAUAGUUGAAUAGAUAAACAUAACUAACUGAAAUUUUAUCGAGUUCUGUUUGCUUCGGUUUCUUUUUAAUCCAAAAUAACCCGAAAUUAACAAAAUUAAACCGAAAAAAUACAAAAAGAAAUACAAAAAGGGAAAAAUUAGUAAGAAAAUUAAAAUUUAGAUCGAUUUUGCAAAAGAGUAUUUAACUUUGAUAAAUAUAACUAAUAAUAUUUGGAUAUAUUGAUUAUUUAAAGUAUUUGAUUGCUUUGAGUCUAAAAAUAAUUAACAUUUUUGAGUUUAUAAUUAUCGUUUUGGAUAUUAUUUUUGGAUAUAUUCUAGGUGUUUGAAUAUUUUGGUUAACCGUUUGGUUAUUAGCUCGGUUCGGUUCGGUCGGUUACUCGGUUACCGGUUCGGAUACGGUUUGGUUCUAUUGAAAUUCAAGAUAAUCCAAUUAAAUUAGAAAAGAUAGAAAAAAAUAGGGCCAAAAAAAACCCAUGUUUUAUUGAAAUUCAAGAUGCAAAAAAAAAACCCAACACUUAACUAGAAUAUGAAAUCCAAAACAUAAAUAGAAAAAAAACGCAAAAGAAGAUCGAAGCAAGCGAACUAGACGGGAAUCAUUAAGGGAAGUAAUGAAUAUUGAAAAUUCAGAACAACGAAUUUGUUUUCCCACUGAUUCCAGUAGAGUUUCAGAACAUGGCCUUCUCCGACAUCUAACGAAUGCUUCAUAGUACUCCAACCAGACCCGAAAUAAUAUUUAGGCUUGUCGAUACCUGAAAGUUUUAGAGUUACUGUGUAUAAAUCGUCUUCCAGUAAGUCGUGGACUUGCACUUCAACACCGUUUUCCAAAUCUUGAUCGUUAACAUUCAUCCUCGUGAGGACAGACAUCACUUCUGCUUUUGGUAAUACUACAUUACCAACAACAUCACUCUUUGUUAGCACUUUCGUUAUGAUCAUAGCCGGAUCUAAUGGAUCGUUAUAAUUCAUCUUGCUAAAUUUUUAAGAAAAAAAAUGCUUUUAGAAGUAGAAGAAUAUUUGCAUAUUUUUUUGCACUCUAUUCAAACAUAUAUAUAGGAGAGUACUUAGCCUAAAAAGAAAGGAAAAUUACAAAAGAAAACAAAAAAAAAUUGGAACUCUUCCUUUAACAAAUUGGAAAAUUGUCUAAAUAUCUAGCAUUUCCUUAAUAUGUCAAUGGAAAGAAAACUUUUUGCAAAUUACUGAUUUAGAAAUUUUUCAUUUUGUAAAUUGAGAAAAAAGUUUUGUGCAAAUUAUUGAUUUAGAUUCAUUUCCAUUUUGUAACUUGGGAAGAAAGCUUUAUGCAAUUUCCAUGUUCAUUCUCAUCUCUUUCGAGGUUUUCAACCAAUACAUUGGCCCAAACUAAUAUAGUAUUUACAAUAGCAUUUUACAAGCCCAAAGUAAUCAAACUCAAUAAAAAGUAUAACAAAAUCUGAAAUUUAAUUUUAAUAGUUGCUAAGCUUGUUGUAGGAGAUCAUUGGGCGUGGUAUUCGAAUUGGUGGCUUAUAGUAUCUAGACCAUGUUCAUACGAGUCGUGCAAAUCUUGCAAAAGGACCCAUAUGGUUGUGGCAUCGUCAGUUAGGUAGCCCAAAAGCUACAUUUUAGUUAUAACCUUUGCUGUUGUAUAGUAUAAAAUAGGAUAAAUGUUACAGCUUUUAGUCCUUUGAAUACAUCUUAUUUACUACAAUGUUAACCGUCAACAUAGUAUAAAGUCUAUUCCAAAGGUUGUUGACAUAACGGACGAAUCUUAAAAUGUAAUUAACUCUUGUAAUAAAUAAUAAUGACUAUUAACGUAUACGUUUAAUUUGAGUUCCUCUAUAAAUUGUUUGUUUCUUUUGAUAACCAAAACCAUGACAAUCAAACAAUUCACUCUUAAAAUAAGGAGACGAUAAGUGCAAUGGAAGGUAGGAUCCAAGUGCUUCUCUCGCUGUUGAAGUCGGGGCUAGCCGAGGUCUAGACCAUACCAUAAUUACAACAUUCCAUUCUUGGUUCUUUAGUUGAUUCUCGCAAAAAUGUGUGUAUAUGAAAUAGGAAGUUAGGGAGACCAUGGAAGGUAAAGUCGACCGAUGCAAUAUGGCGGCAAUGUGAGCAUAGUCGAAUUUCACCAGCCAUGGUAUCUCUUCUCCCUUUUUCAUCUUCCCACCGGAUUCACUCAAGGCUCAUCGCUUAUUCCAUUAUCCUCUAUGUAACAUGCCGCGUCUUCAGCUGCGGCCAUAACCAAUGCUAAGCCACUAUAACAGGUUUGUUGUUGAUCUCUUCAUCGACAUUAACGCUCUUUAUAUAUUCCUUAAAACUCUCGAUUGCAUUUCGAGUAAUGGUUAAUUUUCUAGUGCGUUUAAACAUUGACGUUACAAUAUAAACUUCUAGUUUUAAUAUUCACAAGCAUGGCUGGUUAUUUCAAUUCACAUAUACUGUUUUAUCAUACAUCUACAAUACUAUGAAUUUUAUUAUCAUAUAGAAAUAACGUAGCUCUCAUCACAGCCCUGUAACUCUAGUUAACCUAUAAGCAUUUUAACUGAUGUAUACUUUCCCCUAGCGACACUUGUCAUCAUGCAUGAAAUAAAACUUAAUGGCUCGGUUAUCACCGAUUCAUCUUGACCGACCACAAAGAUCCAACGGCUAGCUAGAGACGCGAUUAUACAAGUGUUCUUAACUUGUUAUAUUCUUACAUAAACGGCCAAAAAGUUUCAGAAAAAUAGAAACGGCGUAGGAAGCUACUAUGACGGCGAUUCCAAAUGUUAUCGAUAUUGAAUCUUCGUCUUCGCUUUGUCAAGAGACGGUGUCUCCGUCAGUUGUUGAGACUGCGAAGCUAGACCACGUCGUGUCACUAAUCAAGGAAGAGGAGGAUGACGUCGUUUCACUUGGUUUUUGGAAAUUGCACGAGAUAGGUUUAAUUACACCGUUCUUGAGAAAGACGUUUGAGAUAGUUGAGGACACAGUAACAGACCCGGUUGUAUCAUGGAGCCUGACCCGUAAAAGCUUUAUCAUUUGGGAUUCUUACGACUUCUCGGAGAAUCUUCUUCCUAAAUACUUCAAGCACAAGAACUUCUCCAGUUUCCUCCGCCAGCUUAACUCCUAUGUAAGCACACAAAACGAGUUUUUACUUUUUAGCUAUGUUUCUUGUUUUACAGGCUUUGUAAAAACUAGGGUUUUUUGUAGGGUUUUAAAAAGGUUGAUUCAGAUAGGUGGGAAUUUGCUAACGAAGGGUUUCAAGGAGGGAAGAAAUAUUUGCUUAAGAACAUCAAGAGGAGAAGCAAAAGUACUAAAUGUAACAAGGAAGCGAGCACCACUACCACCACCACCACAGAGACAGAGGUUGAGUUAUUGAAGGAGGAACAGAGUCCAAUGAGAUCGGAGAUGUUGAAGUUGAAACAACAACAGGAAGAAUCUCAACAUCAGAUGGUCACUGUGCAGGAGAAGAUCCACGGAGUUGAAUCCGAACAACAACAUAUGCUUAGUUUCUUUGCAAAGUUGGUUAAAGAUCAAAGAUUUGUGGAGAGGCUGUUGAAAAAGAGGAAGAUGAAACAACAGAGAGAGCUCCAAGCAGCUGAAUUCGUGAAGAAGCUCAAGUUGCUUCAGGAUCAAGAAACUCAAAACAACUUGCUAGAUGUAGAAAACCAUCUGGUCAUUAGAGAAUUUAUGGCCAUGGCUGCAACACAACACAAUCCCAAGCCUGAUAUUUUGAUGAACAAUGAAAGCGGGAAUAGGAGAUGUCAGCUUAACACAGAGGACCUACUUGUUGACGGUGGUUCGAUGGAAGCAAAACACGUAACAUAGCAUUAGAGAAGAUACACAAUACCAUGCUUUAUCCGAAUAUGUACCUUAUGUUGUAUGGUUUUAUGUCUAUACAAAAAAGGGACUUGUACAGAGUCGUCUAGAUUACUGUAGCUCUGGUAAAAAGGGACUUGUAAAAAGUGUAGAUCUGGUUUACUGUCUUUGAUAGCUCUCAUUUAUUAUAUUUCAUGAUACAUGUAUAUCAGAAACAUAUCUUCCAUUACUAAUAAACUUUUUAACUAGUGAGUAGUGUGACUAGUGUCUAGUGAUCUUGUUUGUAAUCCUAACUCACAUAGUUGUCAAAGAUAUUUGUGUGUGUGGGUGUAGCAAGUGAACCAUGUGUGUCUGGUUUUGGUUUUCAUUUAAAAGUUCUUUAUUCAAUUUGAUUGAUAACUACACUUGUGUUAUGUAGCAAGAAAAUAAAGUAAAGAGUGAAAAUAGAAGAAAUAAAAAGUUCAGCAAGGGUGAAAGCAAGAAAAUAAAGUAAAGAGUGAAAAUAGAAGAAAUAAAAAGUUCAGCAAGGGUGAAAAAAAGGAACCUGUCAGACCGCCGUGCAACCACCCCGGCAAGGUAGAACCGAGCCGAGUAACGAUCCUCUACAGUACCGGAUGCGUCUAAAGACGAUCGUAGCCGUCAAUCACGCUCUAGUCGCACGGUCAUGGUUCAUCAACCAGGGUUAAGGGCCUGUCUCUUGAGAAAUCAAGGAAACAGAGGUACGAGCCUAUAGAACAGAUCCUGUUCAAGUAAGGUCGUGACCA